AAUACGAUGUAAGGUAGAAUUGUACUCAAUCACGGACUUGAAAUCCUGAAAGCGUAAAUUCAGCCAAUCAUAUUGUGCCUGAGGGAGAAUAAUGGCCUUUUGUUGAUGAAAGCGAUCCUUCAGGGAUUGCCAUAGGACAACAGGAUCCUUUUCAGUAAGGUACUCAUUUUUUAAGUCCUUAUUCAGAUGAUGACGCAAGAAAAUCAAAGCUUUCGCCUUCUGGGCGGAGCUACAUGAAGAAUCUGGAACUAUAGCGUCGCUCAGAUCACAUGAGGCGAGGUAUAUUUCAACAUCCAAAGCCCAAGUCAAAUAGUUACCACCAUCAAGAGCAAGCUCAGUGAAUUCUCUUUUGUUGAUAUCAGACAUAUUCAAACUAUAACAAACAAUGAGAAAACAAUAAAUAACAAACAAUAAAAAGACAAUUAUACACAAUUAUAUUUCAACCAAUUCAUUUAAUAAAUAACAAAUAAUAAAUAUUAUAAUUGGGAGACGAUCCUUAAGACGUAAUAAUUUCUAUCCCGUAGGGAGAAGAUCCUUAAGAAAUUAAUACGUCUAUCCCAACAUAUUAUAUAUAUAUUUUUAUUAAAAUUAUAUUUAAGCAUAAUUAAUUGAAAUAAACUCAAAUAAUUCAAAUAAUUUUCAACUAACUCUGAAUUUACUAGACUCUGAAUUGAGAAGAUUGGGAACAUUCAAUCACGUGAAAACGGCGCAAUAUAUACACACCAAAUAGGUACUUAAUAAUUGCUCCAUAAACAAACCCAUUCCUAUGUAAACUCAACUUUAUAACAUUUAACCUUAAUUGUUAAGAAUUCUAUCAAAACCAACAUACGCACAUUUAAACUCUCAAAAGGGGUGUUAAUAAAUCUUGUAAAAAUUUAUCAUUCUAAAAACAAUAAUAAAAAUCAUUCAGACGCACAUGUAUGCCUAUGACUUCACGAUGCGUUUGAUUAUAUAAAAAUGAGUUUUUUUUACUGCAUUCUAAUUUGAAAUUAUUAAUCAAGUGAUUAAGCAGUAAUCCUUCGAUUUUGAAUCAGGCAUCACAAAAUCACAGCCAAAAACCAUCUCGUCAUAUCAGUAGAUUGCCGAAUGUUCAUCUCUUAAAUCCUAAAAUCUAAUCAAUCUAUUCAAAUCAAAAACUCCGAACUUCACAUCCAACCAAAAAAAAUCGAUAAACUGAAACUUGUUUAAUACUAUAACAAAUCAAUCAACAAUCGGACUUCUCAACAUAAUUGUAAUCAGACUUCAAUUAGAAUUUAAGUUUAAAAAAAAAUCAAAUCCGUUUCUAAAUUUUCUAGAAACAUAAUGUAAAAUUACCUUGUAAGAAAAACACGAUUUUUUCUUAUGGUCUAUCUCCGUGUUCACUCAAUUGGCUAGAGACUGGUGCUGAUAACGUGUUGUAAUAUCCCCUUGAGCAAGCAAUUCCAAAGUAAAAGAGUAGAAGAUGCAGAGAGAAGAGAAGAAGAAAGAAUAGACAGAAAACCAGAUUCUGUAUUAUC
rnacentral:lncRNA from 1 species